rnacentral:rRNA from 1 species
UGGGAGCUUGCUCCCAUUUCUCAGCGGCGGACGGGUGAGUAACACGUGGGCAACCUGCCCUACAGACUGGGAUAACUCCGGGAAACCGGAGCUAAUACCGGGUAAUACAUAGCAUCGCAUGAUGCAACGUUGAAAGUUGGCCUUUGGCUAACACUGUAGGAUGGGCCCGCGGCGCAUUAGCUAGUUGGUAAGGUAACGGCUUACCAAGGCCACGAUGCGUAGCCGACCUGAGAGGGUGAUCGGCCACACUGGGACUGAGACACGGCCCAGACUCCUACGGGAGGCAGCAGUAGGGAAUCUUCCGCAAUGGACGAAAGUCUGACGGAGCAACGCCGCGUGAGUGACGAAGGCCUUCGGGUCGUAAAGCUCUGUUGUUAGGGAAGAACAAGUACCGUUCGAAUAGGGCGGUACCUUGACGGUACCUAACCAGAAAGCCACGGCUAACUACGUGCCAGCAGCCGCGGUAAUACGUAGGUGGCAAGCGUUGUCCGGAAUUAUUGGGCGUAAAGCGCGCGCAGGCGGUCUCUUAAGUCUGAUGUGAAAGCCCACGGCUCAACCGUGGAGGGCCAUUGGAAACUGGGGGACUUGAGUGCAGAAGAGGAGAGUGGAAUUCCACGUGUAGCGGUGAAAUGCGUAGAUAUGUGGAGGAACACCAGUGGCGAAGGCGGCUCUCUGGUCUGUAACUGACGCUGAGGCGCGAAAGCGUGGGGAGCGAACAGGAUUAGAUACCCUGGUAGUCCACGCCGUAAACGAUGAGUGCUAGGUGUUUGGGGGGUUCCACCCUCAGUGCUGAAGUUAACACAUUAAGCACUCCGCCUGGGGAGUACGACCGCAAGGUUGAAACUCAAAGGAAUUGACGGGGGCCCGCACAAGCAGUGGAGCAUGUGGUUUAAUUCGAAGCAACGCGAAGAACCUUACCAGGUCUUGACAUCCUCUGCCACUCCUAGAGAUAGGACGUUCCCC